rnacentral:rRNA from 1 species
AAUCAACGCUGGCGGCGUGCCUCAGACAUGCAAGUCGAACGAUUAAAGCUCUCUUCGGAGAGUGCAUAGAGUGGCGCACGGGUGAGUAACACGUAAGUAAUCUACCUUUGAGUGGGGAAUAACAUCGGGAAACCGAUGCUAAUACCGCAUAAUGCAGCGGCAUCGCAAGAUGACAGUUGUUAAAGAUUUAUCGCUUGAAGAGGAGCUUGCGGCAGAUUAGCUAGUUGGUAAGGUAAUGGCUUACCAAGGCUACGAUCUGUAACCGGUCUAAGAGGACGGUCGGUCACACUGACACUGAAUAACGGGUCAGACUCCUACGGGAGGCAGCAGUCGGGAAUUUUGGGUCAAUGGGCGAAAGCCUGACCCAGCAACGCCGCGUGAAGGAUGAAGUAUUUCGGUAUGUAAACUUCGAAAGAAUAGGAAGAAUAAA